CACGUAGGGCGCUAGCGUUGUCCGGAAUUAUUGGGCGUAAAGAGCUCGUAGGCGGCCUGUUGCGUCCGCUGUGAAAGCCCGGGGCUUAACCCCGGGUCGGCAGUGGAUACGGGCAGGCUAGAGGUAGGUAGGGGAGAAUGGAAUUCCCGGUGUAGCGGUGAAAUGCGCAGAUAUCGGGAGGAACACCGGUGGCGAAGGCGGUUCUCUGGGCCUUACCUGACGCUGAGGAGCGAAAGCGUGGGGAGCGAACAGG
rnacentral:rRNA from 1 species